UAGUCCACGCCGUAAACGAUGUCUACUAGCCGUUGGGAGACUUGAUCUCUUAGUGGCGCAGCUAACGCGAUAAGUAGACCGCCUGGGGAGUACGGUCGCAAGAUUAAAACUCAAAUGAAUUGACGGGGGCCCGCACAAGCGGUGGAGCAUGUGGUUUAAUUCGAUGCAACGCGAAGAACCUUACCAGGUCUUGACAUCCUGCGAACUUUCUAGAGAUAGAUUGGUGCCUUCGGGAGCGCAGUGACAGGUGCUGCAUGGCUGUCGUCAGCUCGUGUUGUGAAAUGUUGGGUUAAGUCCCGUAACGAGCGCAACCCUUGUCCUUAGUUGCUAGCAGGUUAAGCUGAGAACUCUAAGGAGACUGCCGGUGACAAACCGGAGGAAGGUGGGGACGACGUCAAGUCAUCAUGGCCCUUACGACCUGGGCUACACACGUGCUACAAUGGGCAGUACAAAGGGCAGCGAAACCGCGAGGUGGAGCCAGUCCCGUAAAACUGUUCGUAGUCCGGAUUGG
rnacentral:rRNA from 1 species